rnacentral:tRNA from 1 species
GGGGCUGUAGCUCAGUGGUAGAGUGGAAGAUUGCAAUGACCUGACUGGUUAACCAAGUAUUGCAACCUAUCUUUAGGUCGCCGGUUCGAACCCGGCCAGUCCCU